UACGAAGGGGGCUAGCGUUGCUCGGAAUCACUGGGCGUAAAGCGCACGUAGGCGGAUCGCUAAGUCAGGGGUGAAAUCCUGGAGCUCAACUCCAGAACUGCCUUUGAUACUGGCAAUCUCGAGUCCGGGAGAGGUGAGUGGAACUGCGAGUGUAGAGGUGAAAUUCGUAGAUAUUCGCAAGAACACCAGUGGCGAAGGCGGCUCACUGGCCCGGUACUGACGCUGAGGUGCGAAAGCGUGGGGGAGCAAACAGGG
rnacentral:rRNA from 1 species